rnacentral:rRNA from 1 species
UACGAAGGUGGCAAGCGUUGUUCGGAUUUACUGGGCGUACAGGGAGCGUAGGCGGUUGGAUAAGCCCUCCGUGAAAUCUCCAGGCUUAACCUGGAAAGUGCAGAGGGGACUGUUCAGCUAGAGGAUGGGAGAGGAGCGCGGAAUUCCCGGUGUAGCGGUGAAAUGCGUAGAGAUCGGGAGGAAGGCCGGUGGCGAAGGCGGCGCUCUGGAACAUUUCUGACGCUGAGGCGCGAAAGCUAGGGGAGCAAACGGG